rnacentral:tRNA from 1 species
GGAAGGGCUGUAGCCCAGUGGUGGAGCAUCUGCUUUGCAUGCAGAAGGUCCCAGGUUCAAUCCCCUAUAUCUCCA